rnacentral:rRNA from 1 species
UACGGAGGGUGCAAGCGUUAAUCGGAAUUACUGGGCGUAAAGCGUGCGCAGGCGGUUUGUUAAGUCUGUUGUGAAAUCCCCGAGCUCAACUUGGGAAUUGCAAUGGAUACUGGCAGGCUGGAGUAUGGUAGAGGAAGGUGGAAUUCCCGGUGUAGCAGUGAAAUGCGUAGAGAUGUGGAGGAAUACCGAUGGCGAAGGCAGCCCCCUGGGAUAAUACUGACGCUCAGGCACGAAAGCGUGGGGAGCAAACAGG